CUCAAGGAAAGAGAGGGAGUGCCAAGCUGUUACUGUUUACCCUCUGGCCCAGAUCUUUCUUCAGAAGAAACCUGAGUGGUCUCACAGGGGUUUGGAGUAAGAUUCAUACCUGCUUCACCAGUGAUUUUCAAAGGAGGCAAAUCCUAUUUGAAGCUAAAGUCACAUAAAGAGAUUUGGAAUGAGGAAACAAAUUAUAGCAGCCUGCAAGUUGUAGAAUGAAGAAAUGCAAAUGUAAAGUACUGAACUUUGUCAUGGAUAGAUUUACCAAAGAGAAUUACUCUGCAUAACAUGAAUAAUGGAGUUCAGAAGGAAGCCCAUAUCCCAGGUACAGGGAAAACUCAGAGACUUCCUCGGUUGUGCUGUUUUACUGAGGUUGGGUGGAGUCAACACAUCAUGGAUAAAGAAGUCCCUAAAGGCAGUCCCAGGGAGCCCGCACUGAACAUCAAGAAGUCAGACAAAUCCUUCAAACGCAAGAAGCCCACCGAAAAUGUGCUGAUCUUUUUAAUCAACAGACAACUGGGCAGGCACAGAAGUGACAUCGACCUGUCAAGAUGGGUGUGGAUGCUGUCAUAAAGCAACUCUAGGGUGGACAUGGCCUUGGACAAAAAGUCAUGUGGCUUACGUGCUGAAGCCUGCCCAUAUUUUUGAGAAAUUAAAUAUAAUUAGAACAAUAAACUCCUCCCAUGUUUGAGUCAUUAAAACAGAGUCUGUCAUUUCACUCCUUGAGGUUGGAUGUGUGUUUGCUGACAGGGUGUUCUUGGGUUACACUGGAAGGGGCUUCUGUUCAUCCUAACACGCUGUGCAGGGGUGCUUAGACCCAGGGGAGAGGGUGAGAUCAUGCUGCACACCAGAUCUCUCCCACCAUCAAUCUGAAAAACACUGCAAAGUCAAAGUGAUGUAGUACUUGGCAUUUAAGGACCAAAGACUCUUCUCCCUAGCCAUUUUGAAGAGACUGCCCUGGUGUUCCCCUCUAAAACCCAAUGCUUGUCCUAGUGAAAAGACAUUGUUUAAGAGCAGACCAACAGUUGGCCUGGGGGUUUG
rnacentral:lncRNA from 1 species